GUCGACCUGAUGGUGGCGCUAGAUGGAAAGUCAGAGGAUCAGCAGAGUUAUUACAGUUCAUCCUGAGGGGAGCAUGAACGAUGAAGCACGUCUCAUCGCAGUCCAGCAGCUGCUGAGACGCUUCGGUCUGGACCGAAGUGGAGGACGGAAAAUGCCGUCCACAGAGCAAAAGAAAACAUUUUUAUAUAUUCAGGUGUGAUUUUCAACAGCAGUUUUUAAGAGUUAAGGUAAACCUGUAAAAUAGCAAAAAAACGAUGUGCAAACUUUAUUCAUUUACUCAUGUGGGUUGUUUUCAGUUUUAAAAGUUGAUUUUAACUGUGUGAAAACAACCUUAAAGGAGUUUGAUUUACUGCAGGUUUGUGGUCGGAGACACAGAGAGCGUUCAAUAGCGUAUUCAUGCUGUAGAGGUCUGUGGACUGUACUGAGUACAUCAGUCUGCCGAUACAGACCUGUGCUGACGCAUCCUGUCCUCUGUUAACUGCCCUAAUUACCUGGAUGUGCUCAGACGUAUGUUAUUGAGUUCCCGACAGGAAGCUUAAUCUUCCAGCGUUCAGGUUAAAUUAACCAUCCAAUCAAUGACUCGGGAACAAUUCUCCUGACUCUCAUUGGAGGAACGCCGCAUCCUUUUCUCUCUUUUAAUGGCUGCAAAUCAAAAGCCGAGGUCGCGGAGGAACGUGGACGUCCAGCGGUGCAGAGACAGAAAGCGCCCGGUGAAUCAUUAUCCUGUGAUUAUGAACGUGUCCUCGCACAUUUCUGGACAGGAGUGAUGGAGGAAUGUGUUUUCAUGCCAUCAGCAAACAGAGGUUAUGGUUUCAGCUGCAUCACUCCAGGGUUUAAAAGAAAAGAGAUUCACUUCUCAUAAUGUUGAUGAGCAGAAGAAAAGAGCGCGGAAACAUUACAACACAGCCCAACAUCAGCACCGCAGCUAGCAGUUUCCCCCUGCUUCCAGUCUUUGUGCUAAGCUAGGCUAAACACAUCCUGGACCUGUCUGUGCACUCAACUAGACACAGAAAUACAGCUGAUCUCCAUCUGGAACAUCAGAGAACAAGAGGAUUUACCGUAAGACUCUUCUUCCAAAACAAUUCAUCCUCUUUUCUUCGGCCGGGACUCUAAAGCACUUUCUACUUCCUAACAUUCAGAAUCCUCGACACUUUAAAACACAUUCAGACAACAAUAUGCCGCCAAAACCUGGCGUCUCUACAAAUAAUCAGAAAGGUGUCUGUUUGAAUAAGACGGAGGACGUUGGUGGUCGUGUCUGAUUGAGGGCAGAGCGAUCGGCUCUGACAGGCUCCAAACAGAAGCUGUCAAAGCUGUAAUAGCGUCCAGGUUUCCAGAUGAGCCACUGAUGGAUUCGGCUGUCUGAAUCCAUUUCUGCAGCCGGACUGAUGCCGCCGACAGAGAGGCCUUAUUCUGCUGUAAUUAACCACCAACCGCACCGGGAGCGCCACCAUGCAGCGACCGCAAUCACCAUACAAAGAGAAAAAAUAGAACAAAACUAAAUUAAUAUCCUUCUGCUCAGCGGCAACAAGAUGGAAUAUUUCUGGAGGUGCAAAUCAGGAGGUGACAUGUCAGUUUUAAGUGGAGGAAAAAGGGGGGAGAAUAAGAAAUUGGGGGUAGGAGGUGUGAUUUAAAUAAAUCAAGAAAAUUGGACUGCGUCUCAGCAAACUGUCAUGUAUGAAUUAUUUUGGGAGCGUUUGAGCAGCGGGUACAUAUUCCUGUUUUUGUAUAAGGAGCAUAAUUUUGACUGUUUUUGUAAAAGUAUUCCACUAAUAGAUGUUAGGGUGUCGCACAUCAUCUGGUUUGAAUACACAGAAAAGGUGCUCAGGA